rnacentral:rRNA from 1 species
CAUAGUGGUAUCCUGAGUAGGGCGGGACACGUGAAAUCCUGUCUGAAUCCGGCGGGCCCAUCCGCCAAGGCUAAAUACUCGUAAGAGACCGAUAGCGAACCAGUACCGUGAGGGAAAGGUGAAAAGCACCUCUUUUAGAGGAGUGAAAAAGUUCCUGAAACCGUACGCCUACAAGCGGUCGGAGCUUCUUAGGAAGUGACGGCGUGCCUUUUGCAUAAUGAACCUACGAGUUACCGUCGUCGGCAAGGUUAAGUGCUAUGAAGCACGUAAGCCGAAGCGAAAGCGAGUCUGAAUAGGGCGCAUAGUCGGCGGUGGUAGACGCGAAACCAAGUGAUCUACCCUUGUCCAGGUUGAAGUCCCGGUAACACGGGAUGGAGGACCGAACCAAUAAGCGUUGAAAAGCUUCUGGAUGAGGUGAGGGUAGGAGUGAAAGGCCAAUCAAACUUGGAGAUAGCUCGUACUCCCCGAAAUGCAUUUAGGUGCAGCCUCGGGCGUUCCCUGUGUGAGGUAGAGCGACUGAUUGGAUGCGAGGGCUUCACCGCCUAUCAAGUCCAGACAAACUCCGAAUGCACACAGGCUAAGCCCGGGAGUGAGGGCGUGGGUGCUAAGGUCCACGCCCGAGAGGAGAAGAAUCCUGAUCACCGGCUAAGGCCCCGAAAUCCGGGCUAAGUUAAACUAACGAAGUGUGGUCCCCGUGACAGCUAGGAUGUUGGCUUGGAAGCAGCCAUUCAUUCAAAGAGUGCGUAACAGCUCACUAGUCGAGGGACCGUGCAUGGAUAAUAAUCGGGUAUUAAGCCCGGUGCCGAAGCCGUGGGAUGUUUUUAUAACAUCGGUAGGGGAGCAUUCAUGCGGCCUUGAAGCUCGAGGGACAACCUCGGGUGGAGCUUCAUGAAAAGCAAAUGUAGGUAUAAGUAACGAUAAAGAGUGUGAGAUGCACUCUCGCCGAAAGACUAAGGUUUCCAGGGCAACGUUAAUCGUCCCUGGGUCAGUCGGGACCUAAGGUUCAACCUAAUGGUGAUGCCGAUGGCAGAAACGGUUAAUAUUCCGUUACUAUCUUUGUUGGCGAUGUGGAGACGGAGGAGUGACACUUCCGCGAGCUGACGGAAUAGCUCGUUAAAGACCGUAGGUGUUGAGGAUGGCAGGCAAAUCCACCAUCCGAGCUGAAAGUCGAUAGUAUACAGCGUCUUCGGACAAUGUAAUAGUGAAGGUAAUCCUACUCCCGAGAAAAUCCGCUAAGCUUAACAGCAAAGAUACCCGUACCGUAAACGGACACACGUAGUCGGGUAGAAUAUACUAAGGCGCUUGGAAGAUUCAUGGUUAAGGAACUAGGCAAAUUGACCCCGUAACUUCGGAAUAAGGGGUCCUCAUAGCAAUAUGAGGCGCAGAGAAUAGGUCCAGGCAACUGUUUAACAAAAACACAGGGCUGUGCAAACUCGAAAGAUGAGGUAUACAGCCUGACACCUGCCCGGUGCCGGAAGGUUAAGAGGAGAGCUCAUCCUAUUUAUAGGUGAAGGUUUGAAUUGAAGCCCCGGUAAACGGCGGCCGUAACUAUAACGGUCCUAAGGUAGCGAAAUUCCUUGUCGGGU